rnacentral:lncRNA from 1 species
CCUAGUAAAGGCCAAGUUGUUGUAACAGAAGGCUUUGUUGUUUGGAUAGCCUAAGGAAGGCUGAUGUAUCUCUCAUUUUAUUAGGUGAGUUCUGAAUAGUUCAAAAAUUAGAAGCCACAUGCCAUCAUCCAUAUGCAAGCUUGUCUCAGAAAAGAUGUCUGAGAUUAGAAUUUUACGAUAUAUAUAUAUAUAUAUAUCCAGGAUUAAAGGUUGGAGGAUUGCUAAGAAUGAUGGAACCUGAGCUAUGAGUUGAGAUAGGAAUGACAAUAGAGACAUGCACAAUCUCAAAAUUCAGAAGAUCAUGCACUUAACAUGAAGCAUUUCAUGCAAAACCAAAUAGGCCAUGGAAACUAAAGUAGCAUGCACCUCAUUGUGCAAGAUAGGAAAACUAAAAAUGACAAUAGUACAAACUGGUAGUCCAGACCAUGGGGAGGGG